GAUGAACGCUGGCGGCGUGCCUAAUACAUGCAAGUCGAGCGAACAGACGAGGAGCUUGCUCCUCUGACGUUAGCGGCGGACGGGUGAGUAACACGUGGAUAACCUACCUAUAAGACUGGGAUAACUUCGGGAAACCGGAGCUAAUACCGGAUAAUAUAUUGAACCGCAUGGUUCAAUAGUGAAAGACGGUUUUGCUGUCACUUAUAGAUGGAUCCGCGCCGCAUUAGCUAGUUGGUAAGGUAACGGCUUACCAAGGCAACGAUGCGUAGCCGACCUGAGAGGGUGAUCGGCCACACUGGAACUGAGACACGGUCCAGACUCCUACGGGAGGCAGCAGUAGAGAAUCUUACGCAAUGGGCGAAAGCCUGACGGAGCAACGCCGCGUGAGUGAUGAAGGUCUUCGGAUCGUAAAACUCUGUUAUUAGGGAAGAACAAAUGUGUAAGUAACUAUGCACGUCUUGACGGUACCUAAUCAGAAAGCCACGGCUAACUACGUG
rnacentral:rRNA from 1 species